ensembl:lncRNA novel transcript, antisense to KANSL1L
UUUUUUUUUGGUCACAGGUAUUACUGUCUUACAGUGUGAAUACCCCAUGAAAACGUAGAACUCUUUGCAACUUAUGUCACACCUGUAUCUUCAAGGGCAAGGAUUAUUUGUUGCUAUAGUUUUUAUGUCACUAAAGUACCUUUUAGUGUCAUAUACAUAGUAGAUAACACUGGAUAAUAAUAAUAAAAAAGACUAAGAAUGCUAAAGUAGUCUAGGAAUUCCUAAAUCUUAAUAAAAACUGAGAAAUAAAGUUGUGAUACUAUAUAACACUUAAGGCACGAGUAAUUUUUUUUUCACCGUUUCCCCUCCAUGGCUAUGAAGGAACUGGGAGAAGGAUGCUCCUUUCAUUAAUUAAAAUUCUUCACUUUGAAAAUUUAAGUUUAUUAGGGAAGGAAGGAAGAAAAAUAUGAAGAUGUAAGUAUACAUACCUUGGAGUAAGUAUUUCCUUAUAUUGGAGUUUCUCUAAUUUAGCUGGGGCUACUAAUGACAUGGGAAUCACAAUGUUAUCUAUGUCAUAAGAGCUCUCACUUCUCAAUCUCCGUCGUGCAGUAUUCUGCAAAACAGGAUUACAGUAGAUUUACAGUACUGUCUAGUUACUUGUAAUGAUACCCUCCUUUCAUCAGUUAUGUAAAUAUGGCAGUACACGUUACAUAAUUUUUGUAAAUACAUUGUUAUAAAGUCUGACUAAAAAAUGUUAAGAAAACCAAAAAAUAAAACAUUUUUCUAUCUUUUGUAAAUCA